GAGCAGCCCAGAGCCCCUUAAUAAACAUACACUGACUUGAUCUCAGGGCCAUGGAGACCUGAGAGGGAGAUGGGGAGAGACCUCAUUCCCUAGGUAAGGCGGACAUCACUACUCAACUCCAACUGAUUGUCACCACAGAGGGAAGACGGAAUUCAGAGCAGAUGAUCAGAACGAAUUUGAUAUCUGUUGAGCCAUAAGCGUGGUUAAUGGAGCCACACAUGCAAAUCACUGUCUCCACCUGCCUCCUGUAUAAUUCAGAAGAGCCAGGACAUCAUCUUACUUCCUUUCACGUGCGGAAUCACCCAAAGGGCCUGCAGCUACUAGCUUCACGCCAGCUGCAGCGAGGAAGGGCCUUAGGCUGAUAAACUCUGAACCAACCCUGAACUAAUAAUAAUAUUAUAACAACUGCUGCUACCGUUACAAGCCAGCUAAUUCCAUGUGGAUAUGGACACGUGUGAUGUCUUGGCCUGUCAGUGCCAAGCCCUGGGAGCUGACACUGGAACAGCUGUGUGGAUAGUCAUAUUCCACUCUGACAUGGGGAAAGAAACGAACCCCUUCAUGGAAACAUCUCCAAAGGAGUUUAAGAUGUGCAUCCUGGUGAGCCUGAAACCAAGGCAAUUUUCUCUUUUCUUGUGUUUUCUCCACCUUUCACCAGGUAACACUAAGACCUCUGCCAUUGUCCAUUACCAGCAACAGCAAUGUGGGUCCAGCCUCAUUGUGGGUCCAAAACCUCAACAUUUUGGUUUUCAUGUGGUACUCACUGUAAAACCUUCUCUGAUGAAUGCAUCUGGCCAUCAUGUGAAGUGGGAAAUAGAAUGGGGAAUGAAUUUCGGCCUUGGGGGAAACUCAAAUAAGGUAAAGUAAUUAAUAUCCUGCUCUACCAUUUGAGUCUCUACAAAGUUGGACCACCCAGCACUUGUUGGUGGAAGGUCUCAGGGAAUUGCAUUUAUAGAAGUGUGAGAUAUGCUGUCUUGACAUGCUAGUAGUCUUCUCCUCAAGGGGAUUUUCAGAUGAUACCCUGAAAAUGUCAAGGAUAUUACAAACAACAGAUAAGUCUGCCACUGGUACAUAAAAAAAUCUGAUUAAGUAUUCAAGCUAAAAUUAUUUUAUUACACAAUUGCUUAUAUUUUAUUUACAUAUCAUAUUUGGAGCUUACCCCAGAUAUUUUAAUAACCAAAGCUGACAUGACCUUGAUAAGGGGUUACUGGAGCAGGUGGGAGAAAGCAGAGGAGAGGAAAGGGUUUUUUUUCCCCCUGGAAGGAGGGGCUACUGAGCACAAGGAUGAUCCCCAUGUUUAGUUUGGCCUCUUCUCUGCAAAUGGGGUCAACUGUGGAGAUGCAGUUGCUGCUGCUGGGACAAAGGUGGAUCAUCCUUGCUGUGCAUUCUGAGUACCAGCGGUCUUCAAUUUGUGUUUCAUAGGACCCUAAGAUUUCAUUACAUGUCUCCAGGGUGUUCAGAGAGUGAAGAACAUGUUUAUUUUGAACCUUCUCUGCCAUCUCUAGGUCCUGUCCUAAAACUGAACCCAAGUAGUGAUGUAAAAACAGUUCUGGAAAGGUUGUCCUUUCCAGAGAUUAUAAAGCUCUAUAUUAGUUCAAAUUUCCUAAGUUCUACCCAAAGUUGAUGUUUGCAUGCGUGAGUAUCAAUGGUAAAGAAUGUUGACGUAAACUGAUAUCACAUUUAUGUUUCAGGGGAAAAAUAGCCCCAUAAUAUCCUGGCUCCUAUAGAGGCCUGCCUUCAGGUGAGUGUCCUAUACCUCUGCAGGAAGUAGUACAGUAAUAGACCACUGUCAUCUGUACAUUCCAAACUCCAGGAAAUUCUAAUAUUGAGCUUGAGAAGGAACACAGAGGCGAGUACAUGGGAUUUAGCGACAAGGCAUAAUUUUCCUGAGAUACAGACAUUUUAAACUCUUCCUCAAACUCAAAAAGGAGUCCUUAGAAGGACUAGAAUAGCAAAACUUUUCAGAGAUAAUAAAUCAAAAAUUGUAAAAUCCAAAUAUAACAAAUGUUCUAAGUAAUUUUAAGCACUGAUGGAAAAAUCAUUUCAAAGCCUAUUAAUAUUAUCAAUUGUUUCUAAGUUAAUACUUAGUAAGAUGACCCAUGGUUAACCCAUGGUGAUAGCUGUUUAUUUUUAUAUGUUUGUGAUUGACAGGUAGAUAUACUUAGAGGUUAAUGUGAGUUUUCUAUCAAAAAAUCAUGUUAUAAAAAUAUAGGACAUGCAUUUUAAAAGUUUGUAAGGAAAUUUUUUUAAAAAGACUUGAAAAAGGAAAAAAAUAAAAUAUCAUUCUUACCUUCAUUGAAUAUGGCCGCUUUUGUUGGAUAAUACCCAUUAUCAUUCUGAGUGUUUGUGAGUAUGGGUUUCCCAGCUCAGGCAAUAAUGUCUAAAUUUAAGAAAUUCAAGUUUAAGUUUCAGUACAAUUACUGACAUUUAGAUAGAAGCAGAAUGAGAUUACUAGAAUGUUAAAGUUAAAAAACAUCUUUCUAAACCAUAUACUGAACUCUUGGCUUAGUUCAUUUACCUAAAAACCAAAAAUAUGAAAAAAUGUACUAAAAAUUAUUCAUAUGUAUCAGCAUGCAUUUCCACCAAUGAACUCUCUUUUGAAAAUAAAAAUCCUUCCCUGGAACUUGA